GACAGCCAGGGCUAUACCAAAAACAAAACAAUACAAUCACCUGUAACUUUGGCUCUAAGGGAUCCAAUGCCCCCUUGUGGCCUCUGGGUCACUAGUGUCUGCCAUAGUUGAAAGGAAAGUGAACAGGAACACAAAGGUGGACUCUGGGCUGCUUCACACCAGAAGACUUGUCUGAGCUCAAGACGCCAACCUCCAGGCCACCCAAAAAAAGGAAAUUAUACUGGGACAGUAGGAAGUACCUGAUCAGCACAUGGCCCAUCGAUGGACUUGUCUGAGACGUCAUAGCACGUGUGAGAAAACUCCAAAAAACAAGUCUUUGACGUCAGCUUCCUCAAAACAUGGAAUUAUUCUUGGCAUGUGUCUUCAGGCCCCUCCCAGGUGUAGUGCACGGGGGAAGAAAUGUUCUCGGUACUGAUCCUGUAGAGAACCCCUCAUGGUGCUCCUGCUCUGCUCCUGGAAGUUGCAGAACCUGUUUAAACCUGGCCGAAUUCUGAUCGGCACCUCUAAUGACUCAAUAAACCCUUUAUUUCAAAGA